UACGGGGGGAGCAAGCGUUGUUCGGAUUUACUAGGCGUAAAGGGCGCGUAGGCGGCGCAACAAGUCACUUGUGAAAUCUCCGGGCUUAACUCGGAGCGGCCAAGUGAUACUGUCGUGCUAGGGUGCGGAAGGGGCUACUGGAAUUCUCGGUGUAGCGGUGAAAUGCGUAGAUAUCGAGAGGAACACCUGCGGCGAAGGCGGGUAGCUGGGCCGACACUGACGCUGAGGCGCGAAAGCCAGGGGAGCGAACGGG
rnacentral:rRNA from 1 species